rnacentral:misc_RNA from 1 species
GAAAUGCGAUAAGUAAUGUGAAUUGCAGAAUUCAGUGAAUCAUCGAAUCUUUGAACGCACAUUGCACCCGCCAGUAUUCUGGCGGGCAUGCCUGUCCGAGCGUCAUUUCAACCAUCAAGCCCCCGGGCUUGUGUUGGGGACCUGCGGCUGCCCGCAGGCUCUGAAAACCAGUGGCGGGCUCGCUGUCACACCGAGCGUAGUAGCAAUCACCUCGCUCAGGGCGUGCUGCGGGUUCCGGCCGUUAAACAGCCUUACAAAACCCAAGGUUGACCUCGGAUCAGGUAGGAAGACCCGCUGAACUUAAGC